UACGUAGGGGGCAAGCGUUGUCCGGAUUUAUUGGGCGUAAAGAGCGUGUAGGCGGCCGUACAGGUCAGCUGUGAAAACUCGAGGCUCAACCUCGAGACGUCGGUUGAAACCGUACGGCUAGAGUCCGGAAGAGGAGAGUGGAAUUCCCGGUGUAGCGGUGAAAUGCGUAGAUAUCUGGAGGAACACCGGUGGCGAAGGCGGCAUCCUGGACCGGUAUUGACGCUGAGGCGCGAAAGCCAGGGGAGCAAACGGG
rnacentral:rRNA from 1 species